rnacentral:rRNA from 1 species
CCUACGGGAGGCAGCAGUGAGGAAUAUUGGUCAAUGGGCGCUAGCCUGAACCAGCCAAGCAGCGUGAAGGAUGACUGCCCUAUGGGUUGUAAACUUCUUUUAUAUGGGAAUAAAGUGCAGUAUGUAUACUGCUUUGCAUGUACCUUAUGAAUAAGGAUCGGCUAACUCCGUGCCAGCAGCCGCGGUAAUACGGAGGAUCCGAGCGUUAUCCGGGUUUAUUGGGUUUAAGGGGAGCGUAGGCGGGUUGGUAAGUCAGUUGUGAAAGUUUGCGGCGCAACCGUAGAAUUGCAGUGGAUACUGGCAUCCUGGAGUACAGUAGAGGUAGGCGGAAUUCGUGGUGUAGCGGUGAAAUGCUUAGAUAUCACGAAGAACUGCGAUUGCGAAGGCGGCCUGCUGGACUGUAACUGACGCUGAGGCUCGAAAGUGUGGGUAGCAAACAGGAUUAGAUACCCCAGUAGUC